GACGUCCUGUGCUUCCCGGAGGAUGAUACAGAUCGGUAUGCAGGGCAGGACGCCUUGGCCUUCUCUCCCUGGGGCAGCCUUGAUCUUCAUCAUUAUCACUUGUAUGACCCUGGGCAAAAUAUUUAAGUUCUCUGAAACCUGUUUCCUCCUCCAAGAGGUGGAGAUAAUAUGUACCCCACACAGUUUCAGUGAAGAAUUGGCAUCCAGAACACUGAGCUGCCCUCGCCUCCCAGACCGCGAGCCUGAGUCGGCCGCUGCCCUGCACCGUGGUCCCCCAGCUCCCGAAACUGUGCUGGGAAACCCCGUUUCGCCAAGAAUGGCUAAAGCAGUGCUGCCACUGAUGAGAUCUGUUCCACGGAGACCCUCGGCCCCAGCCCUGAGGCCUGCUGGCCUGGGAGCACCCUCUCCCCAUCCUACCUCGGAAUCUUUUCGGGCAUCUCCCUUGCCUGCGGAGGAGUCUGCCUAGAGGUUUCCACAGUGUUGAUCUACAGAGCCAGCUUUGGUUCCAACCGUCUUCCUGACGUGUGCUCUGAUCCGGUCGCCUGGGGCGUCCUAACCCGAAGGUCUCACGUUGGCUGCGGAGCCUGACACUGCCCUUCGGCAGCAGAGCGGCCUCAGCACCAGAGCCCAUCAGGGACUGCAGAGAGCGUCCGUCUGCACCUCCUCCAUUGAACUCUGGACUGGGCCACUGCCCUCCUUGUCUCCUUUCCAAAUCACUUCUGUCAUGGUCCCAGCAGGAAACAGAUGGCACGCGCAAACGAUUUUCUGGAAGGACUUUGGCAAAGGGACUGUUGACAGGCGUGAGAGCGGGGUUAAGAGAGUCGACAAGGGAGGCGGCACCCCAGAAACAGAGACCGACUGUCCAAGGGCCCCGGGGUGGUCAGCAGGCGCCCAAGCCGGACCCCGCUUCACAUAGGAAGUCACAGCCAUUGACGGGCAUUUUCCACCUGCCAUACAAUGUCUUUAGAGAAUGCACAGGCUGCUUCGGGACCGCCAUUCGCAGCUCUUGUGCGCACUGAGGGACCUGAAUGUCAGCUCAGACUUGGUGCGCCGAAGGCUUUUCCAGGGGGAGCGAGUGCCCACCCGGCAUCGCACCCUGGUGUCUCCCCACGGGCUGUGAGGAAUACACGUGACCGUGUGCAUGGAAGUGCCCGGCAGCGUGUUCGGAAGGAGCAGGGGCUGUGCCCGCAUACAGGAAGUGCUUAAUCAAUGUGGAGAGCAAACAAGCAGGUUCUUUGCUGAGGGGAGAGGGAGACAUGAAGGUGAGAAGGAAAAAGAUGGCUCCCGGUGGGAUGAACCAAGGAUGCUGUAUGUUUGGUUGCUGUGACCCAUGGCCACAGACGUGGUGACUUAUUACAGCCCACAGUCAUUCUCGCCCAACUCCGGAGGGCAGACGUCAGCCGUCGGUUUCACGGACCCAAAUCGAGGGCUGGCCAAGGCUGUGCUCUCUCUUGGAGCCACUCGGGGAAUCACGUCCCUGGCCAUCUCCGGCUUCUGCAGCUGCAGUCGUUGGCUCCUGGCCCCGUCCUCCAGCUUCAACAUCAGCGGGUGGCCCCCCUCCCUCCAGGCCCUGGGCUGCGGGCAAAGGAGGGGGCCCUCAGGGCCGCACUGCCCGGCCACCAGCCCUGGGGAACCUGCCGGCUGUUUUCUAACAAUUAGUGGGAGAAAGACCUCAUCCAAGCACACCCAGGGCGGCCGUUUCUCCUGGCAGUACUUUCCGGUUUGGCUCCAAAAGAAAAUAAAAACGUGAUGUUUAGUAAUCCCUUCAAAAUCGCUUGUCUAUUUUGAAGCUUCAUUAAUUAACACCAAAUACCAUUAUUUAUUAAAUUCUUGUGAUUCAUUCUAUUUUUGAAAAUUCAGCGUUGGACGCGGGAGCCCUUAUGUCUAAGUGGCCUGGCGUGAGGCUGACGGACAGUGAGCAGAUGAGGAAGCACGUUCUAGAGAGACGUGUGGGUUCACUGUGUCGCGGUCGCUCAGACUCGGGCCCGUGGUCAGUAAUGGGUGAGCAGCCCCAGCCCCAGCAUGUGACUUGCCCACACCCUCCGGGGGGCACAGACGCCCUGGAGAGGGGACACCCUGCAGACGAUGUUGACCCUGGGCCCACCCCACACGUCCCGUGUGUUGCAGGGCCCCAUGCCCCAGCCCUGGCUGCCAAGCCCCUGAAGGCCCUCG
ensembl:lncRNA